rnacentral:rRNA from 1 species
AUUGAACGCUGGCGGCAGGCCUAACACAUGCAAGUCGAACGAGUGGCGGACGGGUGAGUAAUGUCUGGGAAACUGCCCGAUGGAGGGGGAUAACUACUGGAAACGGUAGCUAAUACCGCAUACCAUCGGAUGUGCCCAGAUGGGAUUAGCUAGUAGGUGGGGUAAAGGCUCACCUAGGCGACGAUCCCUAGCUGGUCUGAGAGGAUGACCAGCAACACGGGAACUGAGACACGGUCCAGACUCCUACGGUAGUCAGCAGUGGGGAAUAUUGCACAAUGGGCGCAAGCCUGAUGCAGCCAUGCCGCGUGUAUGAAGAAGGCCUUCGGGUUGUAAAGUACUUUCAGCGAGGAGGCGUUACCCGCAGAAGAAGCACCGGCUAACUCCGUGCCAGCAGCCGCGGUAAUUC